ACUACAGAAAAUCACUGAAAUCUGUGGAAAUAAAAACGUACUAGCCAUAAAAUUGUUACAAUGGCAACGGACAGGCAUUGGCUAAAACAACGGCAACAACAGCCAGUUUGCCCGUAGAUCAAAUUGAAUAACUGCUUUAGCUUUCAGCUACAGCAGCACCAGCAACAACAGCAACAACAGCAUUCAACUAUAUAACAAGAAGAUCAACAAAAGCAGGCAAAGUCGAGAAGAGCGCAUCAAUUAGGCUUAUAACCAUCCUAUAUAUGGAUAUUAAGGAUGUCCAGGACUCACGAUUGUUUUGAACAUUGUAAGACGCACAGCGUCGCUGAUAGACGGGCAAAUCCAAAGGAGUAGUAGCGUAUGCAAACCAAACUCCUAAUAACUAAAUCAAAACGCAAGUCUUCACUACGGGGCACUUUUUAACUUCAAAUGAUGUCAGCAAAGGCUUUACCGUAGCCCUGCGAAAACGCCAAGCUUUCGCUACAUUAGUAAAACAUAUAAUAA